rnacentral:rRNA from 1 species
CAGUCGCCGCGGUAAUACGGAGGGUGCAAGCGUUAAUCGGAAUUACUGGGCGUAAAGCGUGCGUAGGCGGUUCGUUAAGUCUGUUGUGAAAGCCCCGGGCUCAACCUGGGAAUGGCAAUGGAUACUGGCGAGCUAGAGUGUGUCAGAGGAUGGUGGAAUUCCCGGUGUAGCGGUGAAAUGCGUAGAGAUCGGGAGGAACAUCAGUGGCGAAGGCGGCCAUCUGGGACAACACUGACGCUGAGGCACGAAAGCGUGGGGAGCAAACAGGAUUAGAUACCCCUGUAGUCCCUGUCUCUUAUAU